GUUCCAAUUCUGAUUCCACUCACCAUGUCAGCGUUAUUCUCACUGGAGUUAAAGAACCAGUCUCCAUAUCUGAAAGCUGAAGGUUGUAAAUCUCCCUUGUGAAUGUUGCCUAUGACAGGGAAGGAAAGACCUGCAUAAUUACCACUUGUACUUCCUCGGCGAACAUGAGCUCAAGUCUGAAGCAAGGAGUUGGGUCAAUAAAACAUCAAGGUCUGAAAACUACAGGAAAAGACCUGUCCAGCUCGUAUGAUAAGGAACUUGUUCCUAGCUACAAAAACCAGAAUAUUCUGGUGGAAGCCUCUUCAUCAGACCUUUGCAUUAUGCAGGUAUUCUUAAAUUUUCUUUCAGAUUACCAGCAGUUAGUGCAAUUUACAGCUAAAUUAUCCAAAAUACCUCACAAUCUUCCUUCCUCUGUGAAGCAUGUCGCAAUCAAUAUAGUUACCCUGCUAAAAUACAGAGAAUGUUUAGUGAUGUGACCAGUGCCUUUGAAACACUUUAGGAAUAUAAAAGCAGAGAGCAGUAGCACCCUGUUUCCACGAGUGAUGCUGCUGAAGUCAGGAGGAAUUCCUCACAGAAUAUCAUCCUUUGUGUGUGAAUGAGGGAUAUCAGUGCCUGGUAUUUUUUUGGCUAUAACCAGCCAGAUAACUUAAAGAAGGAGAAUGCAAUUACUCACGUGAGUAAAAUUUGUACAGGACUUAGGUCCUGAAAUCAAUUUGAAAUCCUUUUUGGGUUAAUGUGACCACUCACAGUCAUAACUACACCUCUUCUAGUCCUUGUCCACAUCUGUUCUUUACAUACAUCCUCUCAGGGAAUUAUUUUAACACUUUGCUGCUACUCUGUGUGUUCUUCUCCAUUGCAGUCAUAGGGGCAUGCAGAUCUGAUUUUUCUACUUUUCUGCAGUGCUUUUCACAUUUUGAGCUCUAAAUUCCCUCAUGCAGAAGUGCCAUAUGCAGUCUUUGAAAGCUUUUUUGAAGGAAUCCGUGAUUCUUCAGCCGCUUUGCCAUCUUCUCCAGAGGUGUGCUGAGGAUUUCACACAACACAGCAGGAGGCACGUAAGGUUCUUCGUGAUGGAGCAGUGUGCCAUCAGCCUGACUGCCUGUUUGCCAUCAGUCAAUGUGAAAAGACAGAGAUCACACAGCAGCACUGCAAUGAACACGUGCACGUAGCGUCCUGGUGUGACAGCCCUUAGUUAAAGUGCAUUAUUCUGCAGAAUAAUAAAAGGACAGAAAC
rnacentral:lncRNA from 7 species